GACUGUAGUUCAGUGGUAGAACAUCUGCUUUGCAUGCAGAAGGCCCCUGGUAUCUCUAGGUAGGGUUG